rnacentral:rRNA from 1 species
AUGGCGCCAGCGCAGCAAGUGCAAGUUCCGGUGCAAGUCUCGCCACCCCCGAUUCUCAGCGUCCUCGAGACCACUCUCGUAGCGCCCUCGCCCAGCGCUGGCGCCGCCCCGCCGGAGUCCUCCCUCCCGCUCACCUUCUUCGACGUCCUCUGGCUCACGUCCCCGCCCGUCGAGCGUGUUUUCUUCUACCGCCUCGCCGCUGACGCCGACGUCCCCGAAAUCCUCUCCAACCUCAAGACCUCACUGGCCAAAGCUCUCAGCACCUACCACCCGCUCGCUGGCCGCCUCCGCCUCACGCCUGGGACGGCUGACCGCUACGAGAUCUACUACCAGCCGGGCGACGGCGUCACCUUCACCGUCGCCAAGUACCGCGACGACAUUGACUUCGACGAGCUCGUGGUUGACAAGCCGAGGGAGGUCAGCAAGAUCGCGCCGCUCGCACCGCCUCUUCCCAAGGGCGGCGCGGUGCUCGCGCUGCAGGCCACCGUGCUGCACCGCGGCCUCGCCAUUGGCGUGGCCGUGCACCAUGCUGCCUGCGACGGCGCCAUCUCCACGCGCUUCCUGCACACCUGGGCGGCGGCUGGCACGGGCGCCGUCGUGCCCUCACCUCCUGUCAUCGAUAGAACUCUAGUGAAGGACGCAACGGGCCUCUACGACGUCUUCGUCAAAGCCAUGCCAUCGGCCGACGAGAUGGAGCACGUCAAGGUGUUGGAGGACAAACUCCUCGCGACGUUCACGCUGACCAAAGAAGACAUACAGCGUGUCAAGGACGUCGUAGCCAGCGAGGCGGCGCGGCGAGGCGUGCCGCCGCCGCGAUGCUCAUCGCUGGUAGCCACCUUCGGCUUCAUGUGGUCAUGCUACCAGCGAGCCAGAGAUGAAGGAAGCAAAAGCGGCGACCAGACGUAUUUGGUUUUCCCCGUCGACCAUCGCACGCGGAUGCAGCCUCCAGUCCCGGACGAGUACCUCGGCAACUGCGUCGGCGGCGCCAUGCACGCCGCGCCCAUGGACCAGCUCGCCGAAGCCGGUGCCGGCGGCAUCUUCGUCGCGUGCACGGCGCUAGCUGCUGCGAUCGAGGAAGCGGUGCGCGACAUCAGGUCACCCGAGACGAUCGCGUUGUGGUUGGACAAGUUUAGGGAGGCUGCCAUGGCCGGGAUGUGGACGGUGGCCGGGUCGCCCAGGUUCCGCGUGUACGAGGUGGACUUUGGGUUCGGGCGGCCGGUCAAGGUGGAGAUCGUGUCCGUGGCGAGAACCGGUGCCAUGGCGGUGGCUGAAGGGCGGAGCAGCACCGGCGGCAUCGAGGUGGGCAUCUCUCUGCCGGCGGCUGGCAUGCAGAGGUUCCAAGAGUGCUUCCGAGAUGCCAUUGACUCGCUUCAUCAUCAUUAA